CCAGGGUACAGUACAGCUGUGUUACAUUUGUACAUGUGAUGAUAUCCUUACAUAUUGCUAUUGCUCUCCCUGCUUUGUACAGACGUUUAGUUGAGGGGUGUGUGUCAGGGAUGGGCUCAAUAUGUCAGGCAAGUGGUUUCUAGUCAUGUGUGAAUAUGAUUCACUGGUAUAGCUGCAAAUGGGCAUGGGAACCAAGGGUUAAUAUGGGGUGCCCUUUUUAUUCAGUUCAACUUUCUCUGGCCACGUGCUGUACCAGCCAAUGCACACAGCCUUCUGAAGCCACACCCCCAGGAAUGACAGUUAGGUCAGUUGGAAGGAGGAAGUCCUCCUUUCUGAAGCCACGCCCACAGCAAUGACAGUUAGUUCAGUUGGAAGGAGGAAUCAGGAGGAUGGACUGCUGGUUGUGUGGUCUCGCUAGUAUCCUGUAGCAUGUACCCCAAUAAUGGCAGGAAGCUACUGCUGCUAGUAAAGGCUCGUUCAUUCCAGAGGAAAAGGAUAACGCCUCAGACAAAAAUACAUGGCAAGAACACUUUAUUGUGCAAAGGGGAAUUAUGAGUUUGGCAUUUCUCGAGUUAUCAAACGUUUGGAGCUGUACAACAAAAAG